UGUACGUACAAGCAGUGGGAGCACAGGUUUACCUGUGUGACUGCGUACCUUUUGUAUAAUGGGUCAGCGACUUAUAUUCUGUAGCAAGGUUAACCGUAUAGGGGAGCCGAAGGGAAACCGAGUCUUAACCGGGCGUUAAGUUGCAGGGUAUAGACCCGAAACCCGGUGAUCUAGCCAUGGGCAGGUUGAAGGUUGGGUAACACUAACUGGAGGACCGAACCGACUAAUGUUGAAAAAUUAGCGGAUGACCUGUGGCUGGGGGUGAAAGGCCAAUCAAACCGGGAGAUAGCUGGUUCUCCCCGAAAGCUAUUUAGGUAGCGCCUCGUGAAUUCAUCUCCGGGGGUAGAGCACUGUUUCGGCUAGGGGGCCAUCCCGGCUUACCAACCCGAUGCAAACUGCGAAUACCGGAGAAUGUUAUCACGGGAGACACACGGCGGGUGCUAACGUCCGUCGUGAAGAGGGAAACAACCCAGACCGCCAGCUAAGGUCCCAAAGUCAUGGUUAAGUGGGAAACGAUGUGGGAAGGCCCAGACAGCCAGGAUGUUGGCUUAGAAGCAGCCAUCAUUUAAAGAAAGCGUAAUAGCUCACUGGUCGAGUCGGCCUGCGCG
rnacentral:rRNA from 1 species